AUGAUCUGUCUCAAGUUUCUCCCACUGUUUUUAGACGGGGUAUUGAUUUGGGCUUUGUCCUUCCUUCAGGCACAGCUAUCGGUCACUGAGUGCCCGGAGACUGACAGUCUGCUGAAGUGGGACCGUACGAACCACAGUGAAGCCAUGCACACAGGAGCAGCUCAGCAUGAAGGAGGUGGUCAGACGAAAGCCCUCAGGUGUGGGGGGGGGGGGAGGGGCGGCCUGUUGAAAGGUGCGGCCCCCCCAGUUCUGUCUCUGGCAGGGGGGGUGCUGUUGGUGGCUGGCUGCCGUGUGACCCCCAGGAGCCAGCUGAUGAAGAAGUGCGGGAAGAGGAGCUGGCUCAGACUCCCACGGGAACAGGACGAAGACUGCAGCUGGGAAUCGAGAAGAACCAGAGACGACCUCAUGUUCUAUGUGGACUAUCUUCUACGUCUCAUGUCUUUAUUGAAUGAUUAUGCAUUAACGUCAUGUAAUUAUUGUCUGACAUCGAAGACACUUGAAGCCUUUUGCUGAUUGCAAGCUGCUUCCACAGACCACCCCCUCUUCCAACAAAUGAAAUUGUUACAGCCUUAAUUUACCAUAAAAUGAGCACUCCCGUUAUAGUGUGCUGUGAAAUCGUAUUUAAUUUCUAUUAACUCUUGGAUUAGACAUGAGACAAAGUCUUUUUAUUUUCUGCAAGGCAAGCUGUAUUCUCCCAUUCAGGCAGAAUCACGUGACCUCUGCAUUUCAAGUACUUGAUUAUUUUAACAUUCUGGCUGCGUGUUAUUCAGUAUCUCUGCCUUUUUGCCACGUGAAAUUAGACUCCGCGCCAGAGAGUUACAGACGCCCGGAGAGAGUGGAUCACUAUCUUGCUGCGGCCGAGUUUACUGUGAGCUUCCACACAAACACACGCCGCCACAUCUUGGCAUUGCUCGGCCUGUUGCAGCCCUGAGGAUAUCAAAUGCUAAUGCGGCGGCCUAUUUGCAUGUACUCGCAUGUAGCCUCCCCGCAAAUGUGCAACACUUUCACAACCGACGCUGGCUUGUUCUCAGCGCGGCAGCAUCCACUUAUGAUAAUUGAGCGAGAUGGACUCGGGAAGAGAGCAGCAUGUGAGAAGAGGACAGAGGGUGAAGACAGACAUUACUAACUUCCCUCCAUUUAUCCAUCAUGCCUCUGUUGAUUUGAUUCCCCUCUAUGCCAUUUUCUGCCAUUAUCACUGAUGGUAUUACGGCUGCCUGUGGUGCUGAGUUACAUUUAGAGGUCAAAACUGUACUUUCCUGUAUUAAAAACAAAUUUCUCUGUCCUGAUUCGCUGGUCAGAGACGGCAUUACCCAAGCCAGAGGCUCCAUUUAGUAUAUUGAAAAAGCUAGCGGCUCAGAGGAUGGAACAUUAGAUAUUGGGAUAGAAACCAUCAUUUGAGAUGAAACAACAGGCCAUAUCCAAAACAGAUCAUUUUUCAGUCUUUAUGUGCUAUUAUGUCUAAAAUAAUGAUUUCUGUGUCUCCUAUAAUGUAAUGAAAGAUAAGUAAUGGUGGUGGAAGCCAUCUGCUUUGUUGGAAUCAAUGAACUGUCAAGAGUGCAAGGGUGGAAAAGAAAGUAAAUGUUGCUGUGCCAUGAUCAAUAAAAGUAGACUUGAAUAUGAGCGAGCCAUGUAUCAGUCUGUGAUGUUUCCUCUUGGCUGGAGCUGCCUUCAAGACAGUCUGCUGUUUGU
rnacentral:lncRNA from 1 species